ACGCACGCUGGCGGCGUGCUUAACCCCUGCCAGUCGAACGGAAAGGCCCCUUUGGGGGUACUCGAGUGGCGAACGGGUGAGUAACACGUGAGUAACCUGCCCUUGACUUCGGGAUAACUUCAGGAAACUGGGGCUAAUACCGGAUAGGAAUCCUUGCUGCAUGGUGGGGGUUGGAAAGCUUCGGCGGUUUUGGAUGGACUCGCGGCUUAUCAGCUUGUUGGUGGGGUAGUGGCUUACCAAGGCUUUGACGGGUAGCCGGCCUGAGAGGGCGACCGGCCACAUUGGGACUGAGAUACGGCCCAGACUCCUACGGGAGGCAGCAGUGGGGAAUAUUGCACAAUGGGCGGAAGCCUGAUGCAGCAACGCCGCGUGCGGGAGGACGGCCUUCGGGUUGUAAACCGCUUUCAGCAGGGGCGAAGCUUGUGGUGACGGUACCUGCAGAAGAAGCACCGGCUAACUACGUG
rnacentral:rRNA from 1 species